UUAGAUCUUUGUAAACAUUGAAAUUUCGGUAAAAUAAAUAUCGACAAUUGUAUUAAAAUUACAACCUCCAUUCAUUUCACCUACAUCAUACACUCACCUCACCUACAAUGUCCACUCAAUUCACCUACAACAAUCCAUCAAAUCCACCUACAACAUCCACCAAAACAAAAGGAUGGUGGUAAUUCAUUCUCAAAGCCUAUAAAUAGGCAUCUCCAUCAAAAUCAUGGGAGAGGAAAUUGACAUACAUUUUUUCUCUACUCUCAAGCAAAUCCCAAAUGAUCAAGAAAACCCUCUUCGUUAUUCGUGAAAUCCUCCUUCAAGAUCAAGCCCCAACGGCCCUUGAAGAACUUCCACCAAUUCAAGAUCAAGCCCCGACGGCCCUUGAAGAAAGUGUUCAUCAUUCAUCAAUCAUUCAUCCAGGAUCAAGCCCUGACGGCCCCUUGGAUCAACAACACAAUCCACAAAUUUACACAUUACAAAGAUCGAAUCAGAGGCUAAAUUUGUAGAAGAGAUUGUAACCCUUAAAUCAUUCAUACAAAUAUUAUUUUGUACACGUGUUUCUUAUCUCAUUCAUCGCAGGAAUUCCUGUGUUUACAAUCUUAAUUUUUAUAUUUUUUUAUUGAAAAUCAAAAUGUUUAAAAAAUUCAAAAUAUCUGAUACUUCGAUGCACCAUAAAAAAUCUCUUUACUCUAAUCCCUAUCCAUAUCGAACCAUCCGACGAGGCAUGUCAUUUUCUUUCUUACAACCUCUUUUAAGUUUUCAAGUUACACAUAGGCCCGCCCGUUUGAUACCACCCCAAAACAAAACAUACAUCUCGUUGUGGACCUUGUAGGGUUUAAUGUGAAAGGUAUAACUAAUUAUCUCGAGAAUUUGAUGCAUCACGUAACUUACUGAUGUGAUUCAUAAACUUUAUCAAAAUUAUAGUACGUAUGCAAACAAAAUUUCAAUGAACCCAAGAUUUGGGAACUAAGUUAUAAUUCAAAUAUAUUAUUAUCUCAAGCGGUGAAUCAGAUACACGCAAUAAUUUGUCGAUGAACAAGUGAGGUGACGGAGAACCCUCUAGGAAAAGUGGUCAACUCGUUUAGAAAGCCAUCGGCGACUUUGGUAAUGUCUAAUCUACCCUUGGAUGAUGCCAGAAGGGUCACCAACACUUGGGUUGUGGGCAAUACCCUUGGAUGCUGCCAAAAGGGUUCAAAGCCACCUGGGUUGUGGGCAAGGAUAUCACGGAUGAGCAAAUAGGCAGGUUGCUGCCAAGCAAGAUCACACCAAUAAACCUAACAGAUUUCUGGAUUUAACCACAUAUUUCGACAUCACAAACGUCAUUGAUCUUACCCUUUCCCUUGCUCAGCUCUGCCUAGUAGCUAAGGAUCCACCCAAAACAUACGUUUGUUUUCAGAGAAAGACAUGUCACCUAUCUUAUCAUCUUCUGCAUUGGAGAUGGCAAACUUCUUGGAUGGCAUAGCCACACUAAGGUCUGGUUUGGUACUGAAAUGAUUCUAAAAAAAAUGGGUAUCAAAAAAAAGCUGGCAGCUUUUUUGUGUUUAGUAAACAUUCAACCUUGGAUUUUUUUCACAAUUUUGGAUGAAAAAAAAAGCCAAAAACACAAAGCUGCAAAACCCAGCUUUGAAAAACAGACUUUUUUUCACAUUUGUUUUACAUAAAAGUUUACCAAACACUAUAAUACUACUUUUUUUUUUUCAAAAGCACUUUUAUAAAAAAGUUUACCAAACACUCUGCUACUUUAUUUCACAACUGCUUAUUCUCACAGCACAGCAGAAGUAGUUUUUUUUUUCAAAGCACAAUAAUACCAAACCAACCCUAAGCCCUGGUUUGGUAUCGUGUGCUUCUAAAAAAAGUGGAUAUGAAAAAAAGCUGGGAGCUUUUUUAUGUUUGGUAAACAUUCAACUUCAGUUUUUUUUUCCACAGUUUUGGGUGAAAAAAAGCCAAAAACACAAAGCUGCAAAACCCAACUUUGAAAAACCGGUUUUUUUUCACAGCUGCUUAUUUUCAUAGCACAGUAGAAACAAUUUUUUUUCUUUUCAAAACACAGUAAUACCAAACCAACCCUAAAAGCUAUGGUGGGCUGUAGCCCAGGAAGAAUUUGUAGCAACAUGUAUAUAUACUUUAGUGUGUAGUCUAAUAGACAAAAAAAUGUGUAAGAAUAAUUAUUUUUAAUGAAACUAGCCCAAUGAGUAUUUAGCACAACUAAAAAUAUACAAAUUACCAUGAAAUAAAAUUUUGUUCAAGAUUAUUUUGCUUUGAUACAAUGGGGUUUAUAUUAGUUUUAACCAAUUUUUUAAGAUUUUUUUUUGUCGAAACAAUUUUUUAAGAUUGUCUUUACUUCUCCUUUCAGUGUUUUGCUUUGUGCUAGUUGUGUGGUUAUAAUUCAGAUAUCAAGUUUUCUAUUUUCUUCUUGUGUUUAAAUCUAAAUAUAUGUGAAAUUUGAUGAUUCAUUGUAAUUUUGUUAGUUUGCAAUUGCAAAGCUUAUUGAGUUCCGAUCAGGUAAAUUUUAAGUAUACAAAUACAUAAGUUAAACUUAAAUUUUUGCAUACAAUAUGUAUGUAGAAAAAAAAAAGAAUAGAUUUUUGGGUAAUUUUUUAGCUAGCCCACGCUUAGAGUAUUUACUGGCUUCGCCUUGAGCACGGUCCACCGUUAACAUCACCAAUAUUAUCUCUAACUUAAUCACUUACUAUUAUGUAUGUGGUUUUAUGAUAGAAAGCCUCAGUUGUCAUACUCCGAAAGUUUAAUAUCGAGGCGUGACUAAAAUUGUGAAUCAAUUACUGGUUUAUUACUGACCGUGAAAAUGUUCAAAACAUCCAAUGAUAGCUUUUACACACAAUUUCAAUUAAAUUACCUUGUGCAUGCAUACAUCUUAUUAAAUCCUCACUUAAUUAAAAGUAUAGAUUAUAGUGACAACUCAACCAACAUGCAACAUGAACUAGAGCUCCAGUUGCUUCAAUGUAUCCUCGAUCUCCAAAUUAAGUCUUCAAUACUUACAAUUAACUCAAUCUAUAGCUCUGUAAAGCGGAGUAGAAUUUUCUCCUUUCCUAUCUCUUUUUCUUCCCUCUUCUCACAUUUUGUUUUUUGUUCUUAUAAAAAAUUAAUAUAAAAUAUUGAUACGGUUUAAUCGUAACUUUUCAAGUAGGAGAAAAAGGAAGAGGAGAGAGAUUAAGAGGGAAGUUAAGCCUCCUGCCUGUAGAGCACCCCCAUGAGUCCCAUUAGAACACACUAGCGCAAUUGGUCUGUGAUUAGGAGGCUGAAAUCAAAGACUCUAAGGGGCCCAUAAUUCACCAGCUUCCCUUCCUUUUCUCUCUUUUUUUUCUUUGGCUUAAUCGUAGGAAUGAUCCUUGAUACCGUAGUUUAGUUUUAGUCCUUGAAUUCUUAUAUUAAUUUCUUUAGUCUUCAAUGACAUGCUCUGAUCCGGAAUGUCCACUUGGACUCCAAAUCGAGUUGUGCUGGUCGACAUCCGAAUGGUGACGAAGCCAUAAAGUGUAGUGAUGUGGAAAAUGUGAAUAAAUUUAAACCUAAAGAUGCCUAAAUAUAAAAGUGCACUGUGAGAGGGAAUGAAUCCAUUUCACUCGUGAUGUCAGAACAUAAGCAUAGUACAGUAACAUAGGGUGAAAAUUAUACCAUCAGGGGUAAUAGUCUACAACAAGAUUUGCCAAGAAUCCUCCUCGAUAUGAAAGCUGAGCUGCUAAAACCUAGAGGGGCGCAAAAGAAGGGUGAAUGGACCUAAAAAUAAAGUUUUAAUAAAAACCUUUUGAAAACUUUAUAACCCCUCGCUGUAAAACAAAUAUAGUUUCCAAAAUAUACAUAUUAAUAGUAUAAAAAUACUUACCAUAACCAACAAUAUUUCAAGGAUUCCAUACGUCACAACUUUCGUAAAUAAGUACAUGACGUCCGUAAUCACAUAUUUUCGUCUAAAUAAACAUAUCACAUCGAAUGCUCAUCGAUAGAUGCUAACACACGAGUUCAUGUACAGGUAUUUUGACAUGAACAUGAUUGUGUGUAAUAAUGAUAUACGCUCUAGUACUACAAUCACGUGAAGACUGACGCUAUGCUCACCACAGACGAGUUCUAAUUGCCUAUAGCAAUCUAGGAUAGAACUAGCACCUACAAUGGAUCCAAGUGUGAGCGUACAAUGCGAUGUGUACAUACACGUGAAAGACUGGCUCUGGUCCAGAUGAGUACUAACACCGAUGCAGCAAUGAUAAACAAAUAACUUAAAUAUAAUCAUACCACAGCAACUCAACAAUUCUAGUCAUUAUAAUACUAUUCAUAACCAUAAAUAUAAUUAAGGGAACUUUAACCAAAAGCUACUGAUACUGUUCACUUUAACGAAAAACCAUAUUUUUACACUAAAAAGUCAAUCAUGGUAUUAUUCACUUUAUUCUUUAUUUUGUCCUUAUCGUUGAAACUCAAAGUUUCCAAACCUUUUUCAUUAGUUUUUCUUAUAAUUAAGACAUCUCCUUAAUAAUAAGUUUACAUGUGUAUCCUGUAGGAUUAUUUCAUCAUUUCCCAACAAUAAGGCAUUUCUUAUAAAUAUUAAUUUAUCAUGGCAAUCACUUAGAGAAUUUAUUAAUAAUUGUAUAUAUAGAAACUAACCAAUAUAUAUAUAUAUAUAUAUAUAUAUAUAUAUAUAUAUAUAUAUAUAAAAAGAAAAGAUCCACUCACAGAUUAUAUCAUCUAGUCGAAGAUGUUCGAACUAAGAAAGCUGGAGUCAUCGAUAAUAAUCGUACCUAAGCAUAAUAUUAAGAUCCAAUAGUAAAACUCCACUGAGACAAUUAAAUUUAGGGAAACAGAGUGCAGAUUUAGAAUCAAGGUGUCGAAAUACACUAAGGAAGGUCCCUAGCAAAUUUUACAAAAAAUCAAUGGUUAACCCUAAAAAGUCAUAUGAGUCGGCCCAACGGUCAACUACGUUAAAACUUUGAAAUUUCACUAAAUGGAUGCCACAAAUAGACUCGGGGCGUAGAAAUUAGCCUGAGAGGUUUCCGAGAAAUUUUGAAAAUGACAAUAUAAAAUAUAUUCUAGGAAAUUCCAGGUCUAAUUAGGAAUUGGGCCUGCCGGAUCCUGGGUCAACGGCCCAAUGAUUUGGGCCAGCUUGGGCUUGGGCCCUUUUUUUUUUCCUUCUCUCUUCUCCGGCCGGUUGCCAUUGCAACCACCGGAAUCUGGGCAACUUAGCCAGAAAACUUUCCCGGCUCCUCCUAGCUUCGAUACUCAACUAAAACUAGCAAUCUAACAUACCAAUUUGAAGCCCAAAAGGAGAGGAAGAGAAAUAUACCAUCACGGGGUCCUGACGUGGCCGGAAAACGGCUCGAAGCCGCCGGAUCUCCGUCGGAAAACUGGAAAACUUUCCCCGCGUUGUUUCCUGCGCCAACUCCUACCAAAAACCUUAGAAAAAGCUAGAAAAUACAACCCAAAACAUGAUCCACCAAGUUUUAAGUUGUUUUCGAGACUCACCACCGUUGGAAAGUUAACCAACCAAAACUGGGUGCACGGCGUGGGUUCGAAUUGAAGGUUCGUUCUUGCUUUUUUUGUUUAAAGUCGUGGAGAGGGGCUAAAUGGCGCCGUUGAGGGUGUUUGGUUGUCGACAAGAUUCGUCGAAGAAUGGCGAUGUGCUCUCGGCGUCAAGUUUGCAGAGGGAAGAGAGGGAGAGAGGGAGAGAGGGAGAGAGCGAGAGAGGGUUAGAGUGAGAGAGUGCCG
rnacentral:lncRNA from 1 species